UUGAAAGGGAAACGAUUGAAGUCAGUCGUACCGACGAGAAAUCAGCUUUUCGAAUGUGCAUUUGUGGGCGUAUGAGAUCUUCAUUGUUUGCAAUAUGUAUGUUUCUUUGGUGUACUUUUUCGUAUGGUAGGUCAACGUCGGUUUUGGUCGCCAUAAAAUGAUCGGAGGAAUGUAGCUUCGACCUCGGUUGAAGUGUUAUAGCCUUUGGUAAAUGUGGUGAUUAAGACCGAGGAUUGCAACGAAUACCUUUUAGGCUAUCCGUCUGACCUCUGAAAGUUACUUAGGUGCCGAAAGCUUGCUUACGGUCAUUUAAGUUGACGGUCAAUAGGUUAGAACGUGAUUCCAUCGUUAAGGAUGUUGACGUA
rnacentral:rRNA from 1 species